GGCAGCAGUGGGGAAUUUUCCGCAAUGGGCGAAAGCCUGACGGAGCAAUCUCGCGUGAGGGAUGACGGCCUAUGGGUUGUAAACCUCUUUUUUCAGGGAGGAACAAAAUGACGUGUACCUGAAGAAUAAGCAUCGGCUAACUCCGUGCCAGCAGCCGCGGUAAGGCGGAGGAUGCAAGUGUUAUCCGGAAUCACUGGGCGUAAAGCGUCUGUAGGUGGUUUAAUAAGUCAGCUGUUAAAUCUUGAAGCUCAACUUCAAAAUCGCAGUCGAAACUAUUAGACUAGAGUAUAGUAGGGGUAAAGGGAACUUCCAGUGGAGCGGUGAAAUGCGUAGAUAUUGGAAAGAACACCGAUGGCGAAGGCACUUUACUGGGCUAUUACUGACACUCAGAGACGAAAGCUAGGGUAGCAAAUGGGAUUAGAUACCCCGGUAGUCCUAGCCGUAAACAAUGGAUACUAGAUGUUGAACAGAUCGACCUGUGCAGUAUUAAAGCUAACGCGUUAAGUAUCCCGCCUGGGAAGUAUGCUCGCAAGAGUGAAACUCAAAGGAAUUGACGG
rnacentral:rRNA from 1 species